rnacentral:rRNA from 1 species
UACGGGGGGGGCAAGCGUUGUUCGGAAUUACUGGGCGUAAAGGGCGCGUAGGCGGCCUGCUAAGUCGGACGUGAAAUCCCUCGGCUCAACCGGGGAACUGCGUCCGAUACUGGUGGGCUCGAAUCCGGGAGAGGGAUGUGGAAUUCCAGGUGUAGCGGUGAAAUGCGUAGAUAUCAGGAGGAAUACCGAUGGCGAAGGCAGGUCUCUGGGCUGACACUGACGCUCAUGCACGAAAGCGUGGGGAGCAAACAGG